rnacentral:rRNA from 1 species
GAUGAACGCUGGCGGCGUGCCUAAUACAUGCAAGUCGAGCGAACAGACGAGGAGCUUGCUCCUCUGACGUUAGCGGCGGACGGGUGAGUAACACGUGGAUAACCUACCUAUAAGACUGGGAUAACUUCGGGAAACCGGAGCUAAUACCGGAUAACAUGUUGAACCGCAUGGUUCAACAGUGAAAGACGGUCUUGCUGUCACUUAUAGAUGGAUCCGCGCCGCAUUAGCUAGUUGGUAAGGUAACGGCUUACCAAGGCAACGAUGCGUAGCCGACCUGAGAGGGGGAUCGGCCACACUGGAACUGAGACACGGUCCAGACUCCUACGGGAGGCAGCAGUAGGGAAUCGUCCGCAAUGGGCGAAAGCCUGACGGAGCAACGCCGCGUGAGUGAAGAAGGUCUUCGGAUCGUAAAACUCUGUUAUUAGGGAAGAACAAAUGUGUAAGUAACUAUGCACGUCUUGACGGUACCUAAUCAGAAAGCCACGGCUAACUACGUG